ensembl:lncRNA
CCAGAACACAGCCCUCUGUCAUGUCAUUGGGAGACUGAUAACGCAGUGUGGCAGCAUUGCCUGGAUUUUGAAAUCAUGAAAUAUAGAGCAACAAAUAUGAGCUUGUGCACAUUAUGUUACCAGUGACCAGUGACUGUGUAGUAAGGAUCAUGUUCCCAGAUGAUAUGAGCAGGCGUUUCAGCCACCACUCCACUGCAUAUGCCUUCCUCUCCUAUUGAAAGCCUUUCUUGGAUUUCCUGGAUUUCUGGAAGUGGCAUAUACUAGACCAUCUCAUAUGCCAUUCCCAUCUCUUCCGAAGGGCAUGGUGUCUGCAAUUUACAGAAUCAUGCACAUGAACCACUCCAACAGCAAAGAAGCCCCAUGUGGACAUCAUCUAUAAAUUGAACCAAAGAAGUAACCAUGUAAUCAGUUUGUGAAAUGACCAACCCAUUUCAAGAACUAAAAUAAAAUUUAUUCAUAAGCAUAACUUAAGCCUAUC